rnacentral:pre_miRNA from 1 species
AGCAUUCUGAAUCCGUGCUGAAAUUUCAUCAAAUACCAACCCAUUAAGCUGAUCAGACUUCCAAGAUACGUGGAGUU